GAUGAACGCUGGCGGCGUGCCUAACACAUGCAAGUCGAACGAAGCAAUUAGAAUGAAGUUUUCGGAUGGAUUUUUAAUUGACUGAGUGGCGGACGGGUGAGUAACGCGUGGAUAACCUGCCUCGCACUGGGGGAUAACAGUUAGAAAUGACUGCUAAUACCGCAUAAGCGUACGCUACCGCAUGGUAGCGUGUGAAAAACUCCGGUGGUGUGAGAUGGAUCCGCGUCUGAUUAGCCUGUUGGCGGGGUAACGGCCCACCAAAGCGACGAUCGGUAGCCGACCUGAGAGGGUGACCGGCCACAUUGGGACUGAGACACGGCCCAA
rnacentral:rRNA from 1 species